rnacentral:ncRNA from 1 species
CAAUCAGCGAUGACAAGGAAUAGUAGAGAAGGCCACGGCGAAAAUAGAGAGUUGACGGUCGGUGCAAGUCAACCCGAAUCCUUUUUGAACUCACCUCUUGUAGCUGCAUGAGUGAACAGAAUUACUGUAGCUUUUGCCGUUUCCCCGCGUUAAGGGUUGAUAAGCGAGCGCUUAGUAGCGCUAAUGUGGGUGGUACCGCGGAAGUAUGUUGUAGAAGCAUAACCUUUCGUCCCUAAA